CGGUGUUUAACUGGCGUGAUGUGGGACGUCCUACCGGUGGGCUUAGCCUCGCGAGGGGCGGCCCAACUAAUAUCCCGUCGCGGUGCUCUUUACUGAGUGUCGAGUCGGGCCGGUACGUUUACUUUGAACAAAUUAGAGUGCUUAAAGCAGGCUAUCCUCGCCUGAAUACUGCGUGCAUGGAAUAAUGGAAUAGGACCUCGGUUCUAUUUUGUUGGUUUUCGGAACCCCGAGGUAAUGAUUAAUAGGGACAGAUGGGGGCGUUCGUAUUGCGACGUUAGAGGUGAAAUUCUUGGAUCGUCGCAAGACGGACAGAAGCGAAAGCAUUUGCCAAAAAUGUUUUCAUUAAUCAAGAACGAAAGUUAGAGGUUCGAAGGCGAUCAGAUACCGCCCUAGUUCUAACCAUAAACGAUGCCAGCUAGCGAUCCGCCGAAGUUCCUCCGAUGACUCGGCGGGCAGCUUCCGGGAAACCAAAGCUUUUGGGUUCCGGGGGAAGUAUGGUUGCAAAGCUGAAACUUAAAGGAAUUGACGGAAGGGCACCACCAGGAGUGGAGCCUGCGGCUUAAUUUGACUCAACACGGGAAACCUCACCAGGCCCAGACACCGGAAGGAUUGACAGAUUGAUAGCUCUUUCUUGAUUCGGUGGGUGGUGGUGCAUGGCCGUUCUUAGUUGGUGGAGCGAUUUGUCUGGUUAAUUCCGAUAACGAACGAGACUCUAGCCUGCUAAAUAGGCGUACCUUAUGGUAUCGCGAAGGCCCCCGGCUUCGGCCGGUGGGUUUUUACUACCAACGUACAAACAAAUCUUCUUAGAGGGACAGGCGG
rnacentral:rRNA from 1 species